ACUUAUAUCUUCCAGGAGAAAUGCCAUGUCAUAAAGUGGUUUUCCUAGGGGGAGGCUCAUCCAUUGUACAUGAGGUAUGCUGUUGAUUCCUGUGAUUUCCCGGAAUAUGAGGAACUCAACUGCAUAAUUUGUGUUAGUGGGAGAUUGACCAUGCCUU
rnacentral:snRNA from 1 species